rnacentral:rRNA from 1 species
GGUUAAGCGACUAAGCGUACACGGUGGAUGCCCUGGCAGUCAGAGGCGAUGAAGGACGUGCUAAUCUGCGAAAAGCGUCGGUAAGGUGAUAUGAACCGUUACAGCCGGCGAUGUCCGAAUGGGGAAACCCAGUGCAAUUCGUUGCACUAUCGUUUGAUGAAUACAUAGUCAAACGAGGCGAACCGGGGGAACUGAAACAUCUAAGUACCCCGAGGAAAAGAAAUCAACCGAGAUUCCCCCAGUAGCGGCGAGCGAACGGGGAGCAGCCCGGAGUCUGAAUCAGCUUGUGUGUUAGUGGAAGCGUCUGGAAAGUCGCAGGGUACAGGGUGAUACUCCCGUACACUAAAACAUACAGGUUGUGAACUCGAAGAGUAGGGCGGGACACGUGGUAUCCUGUCUGAAUAUGGGGGGACCAUCCUCCAAGGCUAAAUACUCCUGACUGACCGAUAGUGAACCAGUACCGUGAGGGAAAGGCGAAAAGAACCCCGGCGAGGGGAGUGAAAAAGAACCUGAAACCGUGUACGUACAAGCAGUAGGAGCCCACUUGUUGGGUGACUGCGUACCUUUUGUAUAAUGGGUCAGCGACUUAUAUUCUGUAGCAAGGUUAACCGUAUAGGGGAGCCGCAGGGAAACCGAGUCUUAACUGGGCGUUAAGUUGCAGGGUAUAGACCCGAAACCCGGUGAUCUAGCCAUGGGCAGGUUGAAGGUUGGGUAACACUAACUGGAGGACCGAACCGACUAAUGUUGAAAAAUUAGCGGAUGACUUGUGGCUGGGGGUGAAAGGCCAAUCAAACCGGGAGAUAGCUGGUUCUCCCCGAAAGCUAUUUAGGUAGCGCCUCGUGAAUUCAUCUUCGGGGGUAGAGCACUGUUUCGGCUAGGGGGUCAUCCCGACUUACCAACCCGAUGCAAACUACGAAUACCGAAGAAUGUUAUCACGGGAGACACACGGCGGGUGCUAACGUCCGUCGUGAAGAGGGAAACAACCCAGACCGCCAGCUAAGGUCCCAAAGUCAUGGUUAAGUGGGAAACGAUGUGGGAAGGCCCAGACAGCCAGGAUGUUGGCUUAGAAGCAGCCAUCAUUUAAAGAAAGCGUAAUAGCUCACUGGUCGAGUCGGCCUGCGCGGAAGAUGUAACGGGGCUAAACCAUGCACCGAAGCUGCGGCAGCGACACUAUGUGUUGUUGGGUAGGGGAGCGUUCUGUAAGCCGUUGAAGGUGGCCUGUGAGGGUUGCUGGAGGUAUCAGAAGUGCGAAUGCUGACAUAAGUAACGAUAAUGCGGGUGAAAAACCCGCACGCCGGAAGACCAAGGGUUCCUGUCCAACGUUAAUCGGGGCAGGGUGAGUCGACCCCUAAGGCGAGGCCGAAAGGCGUAGUCGAUGGGAAACAGGUUAAUAUUCCUGUACUUGGUGUUACUGCGAAGGGGGGACGGAGAAGGCUAUGUUGGCCGGGCGACGGUUGUCCCGGUUUAAGCAUGUAGGCGGAUGUUCCAGGUAAAUCCGGAACGUUAUUAACGCUGAGGUGUGAUGACGAGGCACUACGGUGCUGAAGUGACAAAUGCCCUGCUUCCAGGAAAAGCCUCUAAGCAUCAGGUAACAUCAAAUCGUACCCCAAACCGACACAGGUGGUCAGGUAGAGAAUACCAAGGCGCUUGAGAGAACUCGGGUGAAGGAACUAGGCAAAAUGGUGCCGUAACUUCGGGAGAAGGCACGCUGAUACGUAGGUGAAGUGGUUUACUCAUGGAGCUGAAAUCAGUCGAAGAUACCAGCUGGCUGCAACUGUUUAUUAAAAACACAGCACUGUGCAAACACGAAAGUGGACGUAUACGGUGUGACGCCUGCCCGGUGCCGGAAGGUUAAUUGAUGGGGUUAUCCGUAAGGAGAAGCUCUUGAUCGAAGCCCCGGUAAACGGCGGCCGUAACUAUAACGGUCCUAAGGUAGCGAAAUUCCUUGUCGGGUAAGUUCCGACCUGCACGAAUGGCGUAAUGAUGGCCAGGCUGUCUCCACCCGAGACUCAGUGAAAUUGAACUCGCUGUGAAGAUGCAGUGUACCCGCGGCAAGACGGAAAGACCCCGUGAACCUUUACUAUAGCUUGACACUGAACACUGGUCCUUGAUGUGUAGGAUAGGUGGGAGGCUUUGAAGCGUGGACGCCAGUCUGCGUGGAGCCAUCCUUGAAAUACCACCCUUUAAUGGCUGGUGUUCUAACGUGGGCCCCUAAUCGGGGUUGCGGACAGUGUCUGGUGGGUAGUUUGACUGGGGCGGUCUCCUCCUAAAGAGUAACGGAGGAGCACGAAGGUCAGCUAAUCCUGGUCGGACAUCAGGAGGUUAGUGCAAUGGCAUAAGCUGGCUUGACUGCGAGCGUGACGGCGCGAGCAGGUGCGAAAGCAGGUCAUAGUGAUCCGGUGGUUCUGAAUGGAAGGGCCAUCGCUCAACGGAUAAAAGGUACUCCGGGGAUAACAGGCUGAUACCGCCCAAGAGUUCAUAUCGACGGCGGUGUUUGGCACCUCGAUGUCGGCUCAUCACAUCCUGGGGCUGAAGUAGGUCCCAAGGGUAUGGCUGUUCGCCAUUUAAAGUGGUACGCGAGCUGGGUUUAGAACGUCGUGAGACAGUUCGGUCCCUAUCUGCCGUGGGCGCUGGAGAAUUGAGGGGGGCUGCUCCUAGUACGAGAGGACCGGAGUGGACGCAUCACUGGUGUUCGGGUUGUCAUGCCAAUGGCAUUGCCCGGUAGCUAAAUGCGGAAGAGAUAAGUGCUGAAAGCAUCUAAGUACGAAACUUGCCCCGAGAUGAGUUCUCCCUGACUCCUUGAGAGUCCUGAAGGAACGUUGAAGACGACGACGUUGAUAGGCCGGGUGUGUAAGCGCAGCGAUGCGUUGAGCUAACCGGUACUAAUGAACCGUGAGGCUUAACCUU